CGGACACCUCCACUGACAUUACAUUAGCUCCUCUGUAGCUGACACAAUGUUAAGAGAAGUUCAUUGCUACCGUUAUUGUGCUAGUUGACAUCUAGGAAAUAAUUCAAGUCUGUUCUUAAUGUACAGGCUCUUCAAUCUUUGACUACCUUGCGAAUUUCUGAUCAAUACAUAAAAGAUGGGCUAUGUUUUGAGAGGGACAUUGUUUUACAUACUUAUUUGAUGUCAUAAGAAGAACCUGGCAUUAAAAUAAUGUAGAUACUUGCAAAAUUCAAUCUGUCAGCCUGGGGCAGGGAAGAGGAUUACAGACUUUAGAGAGAGAAAUGGGAGAAAAUGCAGGUUACAUGCCACUGAAAUUGCUUUUUUAAAAGCUACAUUUACAUUUGGAAAUGAAUCCUUUCCAGACCACCACACACUUCAGUUGUGCAAGCAGAGACUGCUAUCCUGAGCAGGCAGUGCAUCUCCUAUUUCUAGCCACAGAUCAAUGGAAGAAGACUGGAUACAACAAUUAGUUCUAUGCUCCAGCAUGACAUGCAAAUUGGUUAUUCUCAGGAAGUUAAUAAUACCACUGAAAUAAUGCAGAGCUCUCCAGGAAAGUAACAUGUAGACAAGCAUUGGUUAAUGCCACUCACAGUGCAUACAAAGGACGGAGAGGGCCCAGUUGCUGUGCCACCAGUUCCCCCUUUUGUCCUCCUUGUUAGCAUAAAGCAGAAUUUCGUGUUUGCUCCCUCUGUGCUCUGCUCUCCUCCCUCCCCAUUUUUACUUUAUGCCUCGACAGAGCCGGCAGCUCUUUAUAGCUCAUCCUCAUUUAGAACCCUGCUCUCCCCUAGCGUAAGGAGAGUGUCAGAGAACAUCCCAAGACUCUUAUCAGCACAAUAAAGUAUUCAU